UAUACUAACUAUUCGCCAGAAUACUACAAGCAAAAUGCUUAAAACUCAAAGGACUUGGCGGUGCCCCAUACCAUCCUAGAGGAGCCUGUCCUGUAAUCGAUAUUCCACGUUAAACCUCACCAUCUUUGGCCACUCCAGCCUAUAUACCGCCGUCGCCAGCCUACCCUAUGAAGGCCUCACAGUAGACAAAACUGCUCCACACAAAAACGUCAGGUCAAGGUGUAGCUUAUAAGAUGGAAGAUGAUGGGCUACAUUUUCUAAGCUAGAAAAUACGGAUACUACAAUGAAACUUUGUAUUAGAAGGUGGAUUUAGCAGUAAAAUAACAAGAAAAAUUAUUUUAAAUAAGCUCUGGGACGCGCACACACCGCCCGUCACCCUCAUCAAACAUAUUACUUAACUAACAUAUAAUUCUAACCUGACCAAAGAUGAGGCAAGUCGUAACAUGGUAAGCGUACUGGAAAGUGUGCUUGGUUUAACAAAAAGUAGCUUAAAACUAAAGCAUUCAACUUACAACUGAAAAAUGUUAUAUUUAACCUUUUUGAGCCAACACCCAGAGCCCUAUAACACUUCAUCCAAACAAAUAUAUUAUACAAAACAAACCAUUUGAUCAGAACAGUAUCUGAGAGAAAAC
rnacentral:rRNA from 1 species